UUCUGGAGAGGGGCUGGCUCUGUCCUUUCAAGGAAAAGUUUAAGCACUAGGUGGAGGGGAGGGAAGCUGGCAGGCUACAGCCUGCUAGGGAUGGUCCCCAGCCCCAGGGGAUGGGGGUGGGGGGUUGGGGUCACCCCCUGGGGCCCUAGCGCAACCCUCAAGUCCCCAGGGUGGGUGGGUGGGUGGGAGGGAUAAGUCACAAGCCCAAUUUCGAGCAGCCAAGAGAGGGACCCUUGGGUGGCCUCUCGGGGCAAAGGGCCAAAUGCAGACUGGCUCGGCACCCCUGUUGCGGACAGAUUCCAGCUGUCUGAGCAAAGAGAUCCCAGAGGCUACAGUCUCUCCUCCUCCAGCAAAAUCCGGCUGACUCCACCGUGGGCUUCAGGCCUGGGCAGUCGGGGGAUGGUGUGUGGCGUGGAGUGUCUGAGAUAAUGGAUGGUCGUUACUUGAAUCACUGGGUGUCAGAGAUAAGGACACUCCAGCUCCCAUAUGCUAAAGCCGGGAGUUUGGACCCAAGUGUGUCUGUGUGCACAAGCAGAGUGUCAUGGAAGAUAGACGGCGGGGCCCAGGAGUCCAGGAGGCUGCGUUCUCCCGUGCAAAGGAGGCUGCACCAGGGUGCAUCAGCGAGAACAAACAACCAGUCCCCCUUCCCCUCCCCCGGGGUACCCCUCUCCGCCUCACCCUGCCGCGGUACAGCUCCUCCAA